UACGGGGGGGGCAAGCGUUGUUCGGAAUUACUGGGCGUAAAGGGCUCGUAGGUGGUCAACUAAGUCGGACGUGAAAUCCCUCGGCUUAACCGGGGAACUGCGUCCGAUACUGGAUGACUUGAGUUCGGGAGAGGGAUGCGGAAUUCCAGGUGUAGCGGUGGAAUGCGCAGAUAUCAGGAGGAACACCGGUGGUGAAGGCGGGUCUCUGGGCAGUAACUGACGCUGAGGAGCGAAAGCGUGGGGAGCGAACAGG
rnacentral:rRNA from 1 species